GAUAAACGCUGGCGGCGUGCUUAAUACAUGCAAGUCGAGCGAACGGACGAGAAGCUUGCUUCUCUGAUGUUAGCGGCGGACGGGUGAGUAACACGUGGAUAACCUACCUAUAAGACUGGGAUAACUUCGGGAAACCGGAGCUAAUACCGGAUAAUAUUUUGAACCGCAUGGUUCAAAAGUGAAAGACGGUCUUGCUGUCACUUAUAGAUGGAUCCGCGCUGCAUUAGCUAGUUGGUAAGGUAACGGCUUACCAAGGCAACGAUGCAUAGCCGACCUGAGAGGGUGAUCGGCCACACUGGAACUGAGACACGGUCCAGACUCCUACGGGAGGCAGCAGUAGGGAAUCUUCCGCAAUGGGCGAAAGCCUGACGGAGCAACGCCGCGUGAGUGAUGAAGGUCUUCGGAUCGUAAAACUCUGUUAUUAGGGAAGAACAUAUGUGUAAGUAACUGUGCACAUCUUGACGGUACCUAAUCAGAAAGCCACGGCUAACUACGUGCCAGCAGCCGCGGUAAUACGUAGGUGGCAAGCGUUAUCCGGAAUUAUUGGGCGUAAAGCGCGCGUAGGCGGUUUUUUAAGUCUGAUGUGAAAGCCCACGGCUCAACCGUGGAGGGUCAUUGGAAACUGGAAAACUUGAGUGCAGAAGAGGAAAGUGGAAUUCCAUGUGUAGCGGUGAAAUGCGCAGAGAUAUGGAGGAACACCAGUGGCGAAGGCGACUUUCUGGUCUGUAACUGACGCUGAUGUGCGAAAGCGUGGGGAUCAAACAGGAUUAGAUACCCUGGUAGUCCACGCCGUAAACGAUGAGUGCUAAGUGUUAGGGGGUUUCCGCCCCUUAGUGCUGCAGCUAACGCAUUAAGCACUCCGCCUGGGGAGUACGACCGCAAGGUUGAAACUCAAAGGAAUUGACGGGGACCCGCACAAGCGGUGGAGCAUGUGGUUUAAUUCGAAGCAACGCGAAGAACCUUACCAAAUCUUGACAUCCUUUGACAACUCUAGAGAUAGAGCCUUCCCCUUCGGGGGACAAAGUGACAGGUGGUGCAUGGUUGUCGUCAGCUCGUGUCGUGAGAUGUUGGGUUAAGUCCCGCAACGAGCGCAACCCUUAAGCUUAGUUGCCAUCAUUAAGUUGGGCACUCUAAGUUGACUGCCGGUGACAAACCGGAGGAAGGUGGGGAUGACGUCAAAUCAUCAUGCCCCUUAUGAUUUGGGCUACACACGUGCUACAAUGGACAAUACAAAGGGCAGCGAAACCGCGAGGUCAAGCAAAUCCCAUAAAGUUGUUCUCAGUUCGGAUUGUAGUCUGCAACUCGACUACAUGAAGCUGGAAUCGCUAGUAAUCGUAGAUCAGCAUGCUACGGUGAAUACGUUCCCGGGUCU
rnacentral:rRNA from 1 species